CACGUAGGCACCAAGCGUUGUCCGGAUUUAUUGGGCGUAAAGAGCUCGUAGGCGGUUCAGUAAGUCGGGUGUGAAAACUUUGGGCUCAACCCAAAGCGUGCACUCGAUACUGCUGUGACUGGAGUUCGGUAGGGGAGCGGGGAAUUCCUAGUGUAGCGGUGAAAUGCGCAGAUAUUAGGAGGAACACCGGUGGCGAAGGCGCCGCUCUGGGCCGAAACUGACGCUGAGGAGCGAAAGCGUGGGUAGCAAACAGG
rnacentral:rRNA from 1 species